ensembl:misc_RNA
CUGAGUUAGCUCCGAACUCAAUCCAUAUUUCAAGUAAAAGACUUAAGAUGCUCAAUAUUUAAAUUAUUUGGCAUUAACUUAAAAAGAAAC